AGGAUUCCCCUAGUAAUGGCGAAUGAAGCGGGAACAGCUCAAAUUUAAAAUCUGCGUCGCUUGCGACGCCGAAUUGUAGUUUCUAGAAGCACUUUCUAGGUGGGCCCGGUGCCGUCCAAGUCGCCUGGAACGGCGCGUCGCAGAGGGUGACAACCCCGUCCGUGGCGGGACCGGCCACUCAUGAUGUGCUUUCGACGAGUCGGGUUGUUUGGGAAUGCAGCCCAAAAUGGGUGGUAAACUCCAUCUAAGGCUAAAUAUUGGCACGAGACCGAUAGCGAACAAGUACCGUGAGGGAAAGAUGAAAAGCACUUUGAAAAGAGAGUUAAACAGUACGUGAAACCGUUAAAGGGGAAACGGAUGGGGUCAGCAGUGCGCUCCGCGAGAUUCAGCCGGUUGGCACGUUGGACAGGCGGUUGGCGGAUCUGAAUGGACCGCGGCCGUUCGGUUCGACGGGCGGACCGUCGCACUUCUCGCGAGCGCGCGCCAGCGUCGGUUGUCGCCGGGUCUUAAAGUCGCGGGCAAGGUGGGCCGCCCCCAUCGGGGGUGGCAGUUAUAGGCCCGCUUCGCAUGGCCCGGGGGCGACCGAGGAGUCGCGGCGUGUGCCUCCCCCCCGGGGGCUGGCUGGGGUCCCGUCUCGCCGGUCGGCGGUCGAACGUGGUGGACUGCGUGCAGUGCGCCGCGACCGCCGCCGUUCGCCGGGACGGUGACUUUGCACCACGCGCCAAGGACGCUGGCGGUCAAAUGGCCUCAUUCGACCCGUCUUGAAACACGGACCAAGGAGUCUAACAUGUGCGCGAGUCUUCGAGUGAAUGAAGCUCGCGGGCGCAAUGAAAGUGGAGGUGGCCUCGUGUCGCCGAGGCGGGAGCCCGUCCCUUCGUGGGAGGGGUGCACCGUCGACCGACCUAUUCCGCU
rnacentral:rRNA from 1 species